AUUGAACGCUGGCGGAAUGCUUUACACAUGCAAGUCGAACGGCAGCACGGGGGCAGCCCUGGUGGCGAGUGGCGAACGGGUGAGUAAUACAUCGGAACGUGCCCGGUCGUGGGGGAUAACGUAGCGAAAGUUACGCUAAUACCGCAUACGAUCUGAGGAUGAAAGCGGGGGACCUUCGGGCCUCGCGCGAUCGGAGCGGCCGAUGUCAGAUUAGGUAGUUGGUGGGGUAAGGGCCUACCAAGCCGACGAUCUGUAGCUGGUCUGAGAGGACGACCAGCCACACUGGGACUGAGACACGGCCCAGACUCCUACGGGAGGCAGCAGUGGGGAAUUUUGGACAAUGGGCGCAAGCCUGAUCCAGCCAUUCCGCGUGCAGGACGAAGGCCUUCGGGUUGUAAACUGCUUUUGUACGGAACGAAAAGGCUCUGGCUAAUACCUGGGGCUCAUGACGGUACCGUAAGAAUAAGCACCGGCUAACUACGUG
rnacentral:rRNA from 1 species